rnacentral:rRNA from 1 species
CAGCAGCCGCGGUAAUACGAAGGGGGCUAGCGUUGCUCGGAAUGACUGGGCGUAAAGGGCGCGUAGGCGGUUUAUACAGUCAGAUGUGAAAUUCCUGGGCUCAACCUGGGGACUGCAUUUGAUACGUAUGGACUUGAGUGGAGGAGAGGGUCGUGGAAUUUCCAGUGUAGAGGUGAAAUUCGUAGAUAUUGGAAAGAACACCGGUGGCGAAGGCGGCGACCUGGCCUUUAACUGACGCUGAGGCGCGAAAGCGUGGGGAGCAAACAGGAUUAGAUACCCCCGUAGUCCCUGUCUCUUAUAC